UACGUAGGGUUCAAGCGUUAAUCGGAAUUACUGGGCGUAAAGCGUGCGCAGGCGGUUUUGUAAGUCUGUCGUGAAAUCCCCGGGCUUAACCUGGGAAUGGCGAUGGAGACUGCAAGGCUAGAGUUUGGCAGAGGGGGGUAGAAUUCCACGUGUAGCAGUGAAAUGCGUAGAGAUGUGGAGGAACACCGAUGGCGAAGGCAGCCCCCUGGGUCAAAACUGACGCUCAUGCACGAAAGCUAGGGGAGCAAACGGG
rnacentral:rRNA from 1 species